rnacentral:rRNA from 1 species
UGACCCGUGAUCCGGGUUGCGGACAGUGUCUGGUGGGUAGUUUGACUGGGGCGGUCUCCUCCUAAAGAGUAACGGAGGAGCACGAAGGUUGGCUAAUCCUGGUCGGACAUCAGGAGGUUAGUGCAAUGGCAUAAGCCAGCUUGACUGCGAGCGUGACGGCGCGAGCAGGUGCGAAAGCAGGUCAUAGUGAUCCGGUGGUUCUGAAUGGAAGGGCCAUCGCUCAACGGAUAAAAGGUACUCCGGGGAUAACAGGCUGAUACCGCCCAAGAGUUCAUAUCGACGGCGGUGUUUGGCACCUCGAUGUCGGCUCAUCACAUCCUGGGGCUGAAGUAGGUCCCAAGGGUAUGGCUGUUCGCCAUUUAAAGUGGUACGCGAGCUGGGUUUAGAACGUCGUGAGACAGUUCGGUCCCUAUCUGCCGUGGGCGCUGGAGAACUGAGGGGGGCUGCUCCUAGUACGAGAGGACCGGAGUGGACGCAUCACUGGUGUUCGGGUUGUCAUGCCAAUGGCACUGCCCGGUAGCUAAAUGCGGAAGAGAUAAGUGCUGAAAGCAUCUAAGCACGAAACUUGCCCCGAGAUGAGUUCUCCCUGACUCCUUGAGAGUCCUGAAGGAACGUUGAAGACGACGACGUUGAUAGGCCGGGUGUGUAAGCGCAGCGAUGCGUUGAGCUAACCGGUACUAAUGAACCGUGAGGCUUAACCUU